rnacentral:lncRNA from 1 species
UUAUGGGUGUCUUAACUAGGAAAUGGGUAUCUUACAUAUAAGUAUUUGGAAUCAUACAAUCUCAUUCUUUGAAUGAUAAUGCAGGACUCUGUUUGAAGAAAAAGAGAAACUCAUCCAUUUUACCAUUGUUGCAGGAAGAACAACUGACAGACGUGAAGGAAGACAUGGGUAUGAAAUAAACAAACUUUACCUUGAUGGUUGACCAUUCCUCAGCCAUUAGAGGAUCAUCAUGAUGUGGUUUAGGAGUAGAGCUAAAAUAAGCUUCUGGGCAUCUGGGUUCAACUUUGAAUUUCUUGCAAAAUGGUAGCCAUAUCUUUGAGAACUGAGAGGCCUCUAGGAGAGCAUAAAAUGUUAGACAUGACCCACCAUCAUCGGAUAGAUAGAUGCUCAGCUUCUCAGGCUGAUAGUCGUAAGCCAUGACUGAUAGGACUGUGUUGAUGACCAUAGUUGGUGGUUCUAUAAUGGGGUUGGCAGUGCACACAAAUAUGUCUAUCCCAGGCAAAACCUUCUCAUACCUGUUUCAAGGUCAGGAUUAGCCAGAGAAAGAGAUAGGAGAAGAAGAGAAUAAAGAGAGAGACCUUUGGGUAAGUCUGUCUUUGAAGGUGUUGCGGUAGAUGGGGCUCCAUCUUACAGACAGGAUGACAAACCAGUAGAGUAUGUACCAAAGCUCUGAUAAGAACAAUCCUAUCCAAGGCCAUCUUCCAACUUCGCCUUCCUCUGGUAGAUGAGUUAGUCUGUAAACACAAAUCAAACAUAUGCCCACAAAGGUUGAAACAGCAUACAAUCCAAAGAGGAGUCUACCCUUUGCAGCCUUUGUUUCAAACAGAGGAAGCUGGCCAUCUCUUCCCAUCUUCCACACAUUCACUACCUCUGCUCUAUAAGCUAUGGCCUUGAUGUAGUUCUACCAAGCAACCGUCAACCAUCAACCCUUUGGUUUCAUUAUAAGAACAUCUUACUCGUUCUAAAUAUCCCUAUCAAGGGCCAACCGUGUUUAGGUCCUCAUUUUUUUUGAACUACUUUUGAAGAUUGAGAAGUUAAAGUUGAAGGGCCUCGCAUUACUAAUAUCUCAUGCCUCUUUUCCUACUACUUUGGAUUUGGAGAUCAACCUUGAGGAAGAAAAUUGAGUUGAAGUUUAAAAAAUGAACAUGAAUAUAGAGAAGAAAAAGAUUAAUUUAAUAUAACCUUUCUUAAAUUAUAAUUUUGUUCCUUUUUCUUUGUUUAAUUUAAUUUUAUCUUAUCUUUUUAAAAAGGUUCACGGUGGGCCACGAUUUCCAUGCAACUUCGUAAGCCUCAUGUCAUGUCUUAAGAACACUUGGGCAGCAUGCAUGCUCUCUAUAUAAAAAAAUUUAAAAUAAAAAUGCAUUGGGAAAACUAUAUUUUCUAUAAAAAUAUUAUACAUUGUUGUAUAAUAUAAAAUUCAGAUGUAUUCUUUGUUUUUCCAAUUGUUUUUUUGGAACACUUUAAAACAUACCUCGUUCCAAAUUUCGCCGACAUGCCUAGAGGUGGGUAGGUGAUUGCGGAGUGAGAGCAUGAUACUGUGGCAACACACGUCUAUCUGUGGGGAGGUGGUACUAGAGCAUGGUUAUGUGGCAUUGCACAGGCCUUACAUAUGAAGGGGUUGGGGGUGGACUGAUGCGUGAAGGAGUUGCUCAUGUAAUGAUCUUAUCCUCUAUACGAGAUCAACAUACACCGGUACCUAGAAGUAAAAUGAUGUAAUAUGUAAUGCAUACAAAGUGGGUUGUGGAAAGGACACUUUGCUUACCCAUGCAGUAAGACUAAUACAAGGCUAAAGUAACCGACUUGUAUGCAACACAGGCCCUUGUCCUCGCGGAAAAAGGAUGUUUUUCUGAUGUGGAGGCAGGUUGAUGAGGGAAAGUCUAUACAUAGAGUAGACUUUAAUAUUUGAAUGAAAAAUGACAUUGUUUCAUGAAGGGUACUAUUGCCUCGUUUGAGUUUUUGUAAAAUGUGAACAUACGAAGAAAAUAAAAGCAACCUUUAGAAAGAAAAGGAUCAAGGAGUUUAUACUUCCCUUCUUUGUUGGUCUCCGUGUGAACAUCUCAAUGCAGAGCCAAAAAGUCAAAAUUAGGGGAAACAGGGUAAGAUUUCCUGAUAACCCCUGAAACCCACCAAUUCCCCUGUGCUUCUUAGGAAGCAUCUUCUGACUUGACUAGAAGUUCCAAUUUCUUCACCCUUGUUGUUAUAUUAAGCAAAGGUUUCUCAGCUAGCUGUUGUGUAAAAGAGAUAGGUUAUGCAAUGAUCAUAUUCUUACCAUGACAAAUAGAAAGUUCCUUUCCUAGAAUAUAUUACUUGUUACAGAGCGAGUUCAUAGAAAAACAUCUGCAAAGUAUUACUUGAUGCAAAGUUUUAAGUAGAAAGUUGCUUUGCAUAAUGUUCUAAUAUAAGGCUAGUGAACAAGCCAGUAGAGCGAAGGCAAUUGAUUGAUAUGUGACAGAGCAGGGCAUUCUGGUCGCGUCCUUUCGGAAGAAGAGGCCAUGGUAUACUGGGAGGUUCAUAAGAACCAGAACCCCGCAUAGAAGAAUCUGCAAUAAGAGAGAGUCUAACACCUGAGCUUGCAUAUCAAUAAUCACCCUCUUUAUGCCUCCAACAAAAGUGAACAGGUUGAGCAAAGCCAGCGUGGCUAAAAUGGUGAACAUUGGUGAAGCGGCACCGAACUCCAUGAUCUCUUGCUCAAACCUCUUAGAUUCUUCUUCAUCUGCCACCUUGGAAGUGACUGCAAAGGAAGACCUAGAAAAUCCUAACUGCUUCAAUAUGGUUUCUGAAAAGCCAAAGAAGUGGGAAGUUGUUCUCUUAAACACCCACAUCCUUUGAUCAUUCCACCAACCCAGGAGAGUACCACCACACCAAAUAAACUCGCCCAAACUGUAUGCACAGCUGCUGCUCAUGACAUAUGCAAAAGGUAGGAUCCAUAGGCUUGAAAUCUGAAGGCACAAGAUGGUCAAUUUCUUAACAAUCCAAUUAUGUAGCAUCUGUUUAAUAACUUGAGGCUUAUACCUUUGGAAACAAGGAGAUGCCUUUCAGGAGACAAAGCGAUGGUAUGGCGACAUAGUAUAGAGUAGGCAGGCAGUUUGGGGCCCACAACAAGAAGAUACAGUAGGAAAUUUGAAGUUUAAGGGGAAUCCUUUUAUGCCCAUAUGUGAAGGGACAGUAACUUGAGAGGAAUAUCUGAAAAUCACCUUCACUCCAUCUCUUAUGUUGUAUCAGUGAUUGCAGUAGUGUGGUUGGUGCAACGCCAAGGAACGCUUUCCUUUCGGGAGUGAAAUAGAUUGAUUUCCAACCUCUGCAUUGUAUUGAUAGCCCUGUCAGGACAUCUUCCACUGGACAACCAUACUUCAAGCCCAUCUGCAAAUGAAUAGAUAUGAGGUUACAUAUCUGUGUGUGUGACUUAAGGAGUGUGUGUGUGUGUGUGAGAGAGAGAGAGAGAGGAACCUCCUUUCCCCACUGAGUGUUAUCUUCAUAGCUGCAACUUGCAAGAACUUUGCAUGUUUCUUCUAGUACACUUGCACUUUCUUCUAUCUUUCCGUCAUUGUUUCUUGUUGUCUGCUCUCUCUCACAUUCCAUAUCAUACUUCUUCCCACAGAGAGUCUCUCUCCUGUGAAAGCACCCAGUGCCAAUAUAGCAAGGCCCUCCAUGGCUAUCAAAACCUGCUAGCUCCACCUUGAUCAUAGAAAUUUUACACAGAAGAGUUGCUAGUGUUAGAAUUCUUUCAAUGGGUUAAAACUUAAAAUUAUUUAUACUCUGGGUAAGUGCCCACCUCCAUGAUAACAUUUAAGGAGCUAGCAUAUAAGUCGUUCUUUGUGAUGUUGUUGAAGCACUGUGGAAACUGUACAUAGGCAAUCUCACGGCCUGUCUCUUCAUCCAUCAAGAAGCACAGAGCAUCUUUCACCGAUUCUGAAUUGUUCGAGUACAUGUCACAGUCCACAUUAAGAAUAAUCUCACAAUUGCUUAUCCUUGAUGACACCCUUAUCUAUUCAUUCAAGAUGAUCAUAAAAUAUACCAAUUCAUCAAUGCAUCUGUCCAUGUGUAGUUGCAAAUCUGGAUUUCAAGCAUAAUGAGUUAUAGCUUACUAAGGCAUUCAUGGCUCCUGCCUUAAAGUUGUGGGCGUAUUUGGGUCUCUUCUCACGAGACAAGUAUACUAGAGUUGGCAAAGGUUGGCCUUCAACAUCCAUAGCUUUGCCAUCUCUCCCAUCAAUUAGUAUCUGUGAAAUUAGCAGAAGAUUAAUAAGAUCAAACAUUAGGAGAAAAUGAAGAAUUAUUCGUUCUCUUUCUUUUUUACAUCCUUCGGUUCCUCUGAUAGGCUUUGCCCAUCAUGAUAUGAGUUUCUAAGAUCUAUAUCUGAUAAUGAAAAGUAUAUGCUUGUAUAUCGGAUGUGAAUAAAAGGAUACGCUUGUAAAGCCUAAAAGACAGUGAGAAGUACUUGAAGAAUGGUUUGAUGAUUCCGUGGAUCAGAAACCAAGUCCCACUCUCCAAAUCCUUUGUGUUGUUUGCGUAUUUCUUCUGAAAUUUGGCCCACCUUCAUAGCAGAUUCUAUCCGGUUCCUCAUAUCUUCAUAUAAUUUCUGUGACGGAAAUAAGUAAAUAAAUAAAAGAUAAGUUUUUAGUCUUUUAAGUUUGAAGUUGAUAGGAGAUAGUGUACACGCCACUUUUGUUAUUUCAAAGGACAGUUCAAUCAAUGAUUUGAACAUUUCAAUGCAUCGGAGGUUGCGGUCCAGAUGAAAAAAUUUGUCCGGAUUGGAGUGGGACAUAGUUUCUGUGGACAGAUGCAGAGCUUGAAAUGGACUCUGGCCAAUGCAAGCAUUGGUGGAUAUGAACCGUUCAAAGUUGAUUGUGAUGUGCAGCUUGGCAUAUUCGUAAGAAAUUAAUUUUUUUACGGUACCUUUUAUUAGGAGAUGGGCAUCUUAUACCUAAACUUUUGGAACCAUACAAUCUCAUUCUUUGAAUAAUGAUGCUGGACUCCGUUUGAAGAAAAAGAUGAGCUCAUCCAUUUUAUCAUUGUUGCUGAAUAUGAACUACUCAAAAUUGAUUGUGUUGUUCAGAUUGUUAUAUUCCUAAGAAUUUGUUAUAAUUCAGGACUCUGUUUGAAGAAAAAGAGAAUAUCAUCCAUUUUGCCAUUGUUGCAGGAAGAGCAACAGACAGAUGUGAAGAAAGACAUGGAUAUAAAAUAAGCAAACUUUACCUUGAUGGAUGACCAUUCCUCAGCCAUUAGAGGAUCAUCAUGAUGUGGUUCAGAAGUAGAGCUAAAAUAAGCUUCUGGGCAUCUGGGUUCAACUUUGAAUUUCUUGCAAAAUGGUAGCCAUACCUUUGAGAACUGAGAGGCCUCUAGGAGAGCAUAAAAUGUUAGACAUGACCCACCAUCAUCAGAUAGAUAGACGCUCAGCUUCUCAGGCGGAUAGUCGUAAGCCAUGACUGAGAGAACUGUGUUGAUGACCAUAGUUGGUGGUUCAAUAAUGGGGUUUGCAGUGCACACAAAUAUGUCUAUCCCAGGUAAAACCUUCUCAUACCUGUUUCAAGGUCAGGAUUAGCAAGAGAAAGAGAUUGGAUAAGAAGAAAAGAAAGAGAGGGACCUUUGUGUAAGCCUGUCUUUGAACGUGUAGCGGUAGAUAGGUUUCAAUCUGACUGUCACAGUGAUAAACCAGUAGAGUAUGUACCCGAGCUCUGACAAGAACAAUCCUAUCCAAGCCCAUCUUCCAACUUUUCCUUCCUCUGGUAGAUGAGUUAGUCUGUAAACACAAAUCAAACAUAUGCCCACAAAGGUUGAAACUGCAUACAAUCCAAAGAGGAUUCUACCCUUUGCAGCCUUUGCUUCAAACAGAGGAAGCUGGCCAUCUCUUCCCAUCUUCCACACAUCCACUACCUCUGCUCUAUAAGCUAUGACCUUGAUAUAAUUCUACCAGGCAACUGUCAACCCUUUGGUUUCAAUAAAAGAGCAUCU